UACGUAGGGGGCAAGCGUUGUCCGGAUUUAUUGGGCGUAAAGAGCGUGUAGGCGGUGUGUCGCGUCGGCCGUGAAAACCUGGGGCUUAACUCUGGGCGUGCGGUCGAUACGGGCAUCACUGGAGUUCGGCAGGGGAGACUGGAAUUCCUGGUGUAGCGGUGAAAUGCGCAGAUAUCAGGAGGAACACCGGUGGCGAAGGCGGGUCUCUGGGCCGAUACUGACGCUGAGGAGCGAAAGCAUGGGUAGCGAACAGG
rnacentral:rRNA from 1 species